GUGUGUGUGUGUGUGUGUGUCAGAAACACACAAUGUGCUCUCAUGCAAAUAAAUAAAAACAAGUACAAUACAGAGCAGCAAUUUACCCAAGCCUUUCUGACACACACACACACACACACACACACACACAC